rnacentral:rRNA from 1 species
UACGGAGGGUACAAGCGUUAAUCGGAAUUACUGGGCGUAAAGCGCGCGUAGGCGGCGUGAUCAGCCGGUUGUGAAAGCCCCGGGCUCAACCUGGGAACGGCAUCCGGAACUGUCACGCUAGAGUGCAGGAGAGGAAGGUAGAAUUCCCGGUGUAGCGGUGAAAUGCGUAGAGAUCGGGAGGAAUACCAGUGGCGAAGGCGGCCUUCUGGACUGACACUGACGCUGAGGUGCGAAAGCAUGGGUAGCAAACAGG